rnacentral:rRNA from 1 species
UACGAAGGGGGCUAGCGUUGUUCGGAAUCACUGGGCGUAAAGCGCACGUAGGCGGAUCGUUAAGUCGGGGGUGAAAUCCCAGGGCUCAACCCUGGAACUGCCUUCGAUACUGGCGAUCUUCGAGUCCGGGAGAGGUGAGUGGAACUCCGAGUGUAGAGGUGAAAUUCGUAGAUAUUCGGAAGAACACCAGUGGCGAAGGCGGCUCACUGGACGACUGUUGACGCUGAGGUGCGAAAGCGUGGGGAGCAAACAGG